rnacentral:rRNA from 1 species
AGAAUCAACGCUGGCGGCGUGCCUAACACAUGCAAGUCGAACGAGAAAGGGGUAGCAAUACCCUGAGUAAAGUGGCGCACGGGUGAGUAACACGUGACUAACCUACCCUUGAGUGGGGGAUAACUGAGGGAAAACCUUAGCUAAUACCGCAUAAUACCCACGGGUCAAAGGAGCAAUUCGCUCGAGGAGGGGGUCGCGGCCGAUUAGUUAGUUGGCGGGGUAAUGGCCCACCAAGACGAUGAUCGGUAUCCGGCCUGAGAGGGCGCACGGACACACUGGAACUGAAACACGGUCCAGACUCCUACGGGAGGCAGCAGUGGGGAAUUUUGCGCAAUGGGGGAAACCCUGACGCAGCAACGCCGCGUGGAGGAUGAAGUCCUUCGGGACGUAAACUCCUUUCGAUCGGGGACGAUUAUGACGGUACCGGAAGAAGAAGCCCCGGCUAACUUCGUGCCAGCAGCCGC